GGGGCWKKGGSGSUGCUAUACAUGCAGUCGAGCGAACGGACGAGAAGCUUGCUUCUCUGAUGUUAGCGGCGGACGGGUGAGUAACACGUGGAUAACCUACCUAUAAGACUGGGAUAACUUCGGGAAACCGGAGCUAAUACCGGAURAUAUUUUGAACCGCAUGGUUCAAAAGUGAAAGACGGUCUUGCUGUCACUUAUAGAUGGAUCCGCGCUGCAUUAGCUAGUUGGUAAGGUAACGGCUUACCAAGGCAACGAUGCAUAGCCGACCUGAGAGGGUGAUCGGCCACACUGGAACUGAGACACGGUCCAGACUCCUACGGGAGGCAGCAGUAGGGAAUCUUCCGCAAUGGGCGAAAGCCUGACGGAGCAACGCCGCGUGAGUGAUGAAGGUCUUCGGAUCGUAAAACUCUGUUAUUAGGGAAGAACAUAUGUGUAAGUAACUGUGCACAUCUUGACGGUACCUAAUCAGAAAGCCACGGCUAACUACGUGCCAGCAGWGMSGGGKUWAWWMC
rnacentral:rRNA from 1 species